CCCGUACAUUGGUGUCCUCUUGGGUGACCUUCCCGGCAGCCCUUGCUGGCUCUGCCCCAACCAAACAAAGACGGCAGGAGGUUUUCAAACAGCCGGUUCCCUGAAAGUUGGCUGCAGGAGAGCCGGGCUGUGCUGGCACCUGCCUGGUCCCGGCCACUGGAGAACGUGGCAGCGAGUUGGUGCCGUCGUCUGAGAGGACCCCAGUAGCCGUCGGGAGUCCCUGUACAGGACAGUGUUGUUUCCAGACGCAAGAGCAUGCUCUGCAGCGCCAGCAGUUCUCACAUGGAGUUUCUACAGUUCUGCUCGCUGUGACCUUCUGGGCCAUCAGGGAAACACAUCGUGUUCCUGCCAGCCUCGUGCGAUGAACCAUCACUUGCCAGGAUUCACACCAGGCUUCCUGGGACGCUGUGUUGCUGCUUGGAAUCCUGAUUACUUCUGGUUGCUUACUGUGCUGCUGGCAGGGUGGGAUUGAUGUCCAGUUUGGCACAUUGGGCAGAGCCAAGCCCAUAACCGUUCUCUGUGUCCUUGGCAGACUGGGGAACCAAGCUAGACCCCUCUCUCUAAAGGGGUUCCAGGUGAGCAAGGGACAGGCUUGGUGCUGUCCAUAUUUAUUCUGGUGGGAAAAGCCACCUCCUUCACCCUUUCCACCUGGGAACUGUGUAACUGCUGGGGAUGACACCACAUGGAUGCAGGGCCAGCAGCCUGGUAUCAAGGCACUAGCUGAGCUGAGCACUAUCACAGGGCACAGAGCUGCCUUGGGGGGUGCCAGCAUCCCCACCACGGCUGCACUCCAGGCAUGUAGGGCAUCUGGGCACAGGACGGGUCCUGUCAGCAAUGGGCCGUCUGGAUGACCAUGCCAAGAGGAGGAUUGUGGAGCUGCGCAGGGCUGGGCUGAGCUUCCGCAAGAUCAAGAAGGUGCUGGAGCUGGAUGACAUCCGGGUGACGCCGCAGGCCGUGUACCUCUUCCUCAAGAGGAAGAGCGUGGAACCAGGGUCAGUGGCAGCUGGCUGGGAUGGGGAUCAGCCCUGGCCCCCACUGCAGGGGCAUGAGGCUGAGCCCCCCAGGCUGCUGGGUACCCGGCACCCUGCACUGCCCACUGGGGAUCCUAUGGGCAGCCAGGUGCCCUGCUCUGCUGGCAGCCAGGACACCAAGGAAGGCAUCCAGAUUGUCGGUGUGGACUCGCUCUGCAAGGACGGUGGGCAGCUUGGGGACACUCUGCCUCUGGGGCUGGCCCCUGGGAAUGGUGAUGACAGCUCCACAGGCAAAGCCCUGACUCCAGGGACUGCUCUGGGGGGCCCGCCCCCCCUGCCCCAGAUACUGCCAGGCCAAGUGCAGCUGGUCACACCCCCGACCCAGAACUCAGCCUCGGUGGUGAAAAAGAAGACUCUGGACAGGGCUAUCCUCCUGCAGAAAAGGGUCAAAGAUGUCAGCACUCAGACUGCCUUGCCAAACCCUGUGGGUCCAGGACAUCGCAACCUUGCUUGGGGUGGACCUGUGCCCCCCACUGCUCCCAGCUUCCCCAGCAUCACUGAGAAGCUGGAUGCUGUACAGAGGGAGGUGCAGAAGCUGAGCCAGGCCCUGCAUACAGUGCUGGAGCGGCAGUGCAACCUGGAACGUCAGCAGGAGCACCAACAGCGGCUGCAACAGGAGGUGCUGAUGACACUGCAGCAGCUCAGCUCCACUGUGAGCCAUGGCUCUGUGCCAGCCACCCAGCCCUGUGGCCCCUUCAGCAGUGUGGCCGAGCCCUUGCCCACCAUGCCGAACUUCAGCCAGUUCAAGAUGGAGCUGAUCUGAGCUCCUGCAAUGCCUGCAUGUGCCAGUGGUGUUGUGCUAAUGGCAGGAUGGAGCUGGGAGGAAGAACCAUCGGUCCCUGGUGCCUUGUGUUCCCAGUCCCGCUGACUGAAAGGGGCUACCUGGCACAAGAGGCUGAAUAGUGGAAGGCUGAGGCCUUGCUUCUCCUGUGCUUCAUCCUGGCUGCCACUGGAGCUGGCUGGGACCCAUAGACCUCAACAGAAGGCAGUUGCCUGCAAGAAGAUGCAGCUAAGACAGACACAGCAGGGAUGUGGAACUCCAAGGAUAAAGGAGGCUUCCUUCUCAUGAGGGUCAAUGAUGAUCUUGCCCUCCCCUCCACACAACCUUUUUCGGUAAAAAUCUCUCUGCGCCACAGUUCAGAACCAGUGUGGGAUCAGUAUCUACAUUUUCCCUACCCCUUACCUGGACAGUGAGCAGGCUUGGUCUGUCUGGGUUACUAUCACCAUAUGUGGAACUGCACAGGGUGCAGAAACCCAUGAGGUGAGACCAGUGCUCCACGCAUGAUGAUGUUGGAGCCUGGUAUAAGCUGCUGCACCAUUAGGGACAGAUCAGACUGUAGGAAACAAUCUUUUACUGAGCAGAUUCCACCCUCCUCACCCCACAAACUCAGCAGAUCUGUAGUGUGGUACUACUGUUGCCCACUGUCUGGUGAGAAAUGGGCAGGACCAUAACAGUAAGAGUUGCACCUGGGCAGGAGCGGACUAACUGGAUGUUCAACUCUCCUCUGACCCAUUUUCCUGGGCAGGACACCCUCCUGGUUGUGAUCUCCAGUUGCAAGAGCUGUCCCUAGAGCAAGCUGCUGGUGGUGCACAGCUGCUCUAGCAGAACAGUGCAUGAUGCUGAGAACCCCCUUGCCUAGACAAGAAGGGCACAGGGGAGGUUGAUGGGCCCUAACUGAGCAAUGGAGUCCAGAAGGACCAGAGACUGGCCUUACCUGCCAGGAGGAAAGGUCUGAUGGGGGUGGCCUUGGCUUAGCACCCAGCAAUGAAUCCUGAGAGGAGGCAGAGCAUGUGUCUUUCCUCCACAUCAGCCAAGCAGGCUUCUGUCUGAGUAGGCACCACACUUGGCACAACCUGUGCUUCUGAGAAGUCCCCAGCCUGUUUCUGAGGUCUCCUUGAGUCCAAGGUCAUAAUAAAGAAGAGUAAAAACCAAUUCA
rnacentral:lncRNA from 1 species